CCCAGAGUGAUGUAAUGGUAACAUCCCUAGUUGACACAUGGUAGAAACCAUGCCCUUCGGGGGCCAGGGAGAUCCGGGUUCAAUUCCCAGUUCUAGGA